UGGACUACUAGGGUAUCUAAUCCUGUUCGCUCCCCACGCUUUCGUGCCUCAGCGUCAGUUACAGCCUAGUAAGCUGACUUCUCUAUCGGUGUUCUUUAUGGUAUCUAUGCAUUUCACCGCUACACCAUAAAUUCCGCCUACCUCGUCUGUACUCAAGCCUAACAGUAUCAAUGGCACACCUACAGUUGAGCUGCAGUCUUUCACCACUGACUUAUUAGGCCGCCUACGCACCCUUUAAACCCAAUAAAUCCGGACAACGCUUGCACCCUACGUAUUACCGCGGCUGCUGGCACC
rnacentral:misc_RNA from 1 species